rnacentral:rRNA from 1 species
AAGGCUUCAGUACGACCCAGUCAGAACUAUAAGUCUCAAAGCCCCGACGAGUAGGGUGGCGUGCCGGUGCGCGUUGAAGGCCAAGACGUGAGUCAGGCUGGAGCCGCCGGUAGUGCAGAUCUUGGUGGUAGUAGCAAGUACUCUGGUGAACCAACCUGGAGCUGUGAGGUCUGGAUCAGGGUUCCAUGUCAACAGUGAUUGAACAUGGGUGAGUCGAUCCUAAGCCAACUGUGAAAGCAGUGACAUCCCGACAAAGGGGCGCUGCACUUACACCCCCACGGCAAAGCUCUCGAGUAUCUCUCUCUCAGACACGCACUGUGUCUGUGACGAUAAGGUGUCUGAUACGGAAAACGCGCGCGCACACGGUGAUCACUACAAAUACGUGUGAGUGUGUUGCGCGCUUGUCUGGUUACGCUCAAAAGCGUUGUUGCUCUCUGGGAAAAGGAUAUAAAAGGACAGAGAGAGAGAGAGAAAGAGAGUUAGUGGGUGAGCGUGAGAUUGCCUCCUGCGUCUGGUUCUAUGUCUGGCGAAAGGGAAUGGGGACUUUGUUCCUUGACCGGUCCCGGCACCCUCGAUUGGCUCUGCCAAUUAAUGGUCCAUGCAAAUGGAACCAGGCCACAGCCGCCGGCAGUCGCCCGAGGAAGAGUUUUCUUUUCUGCUUAACGCACGAGGUCAUCCCUGGAAACAGUUCGGCUGGCGAAAGGGUGCCCCGUUGCGGCAGAGCGCCACGACUGUCGUGCGCGUCUCGGUGUUCCUGCCGGUCCGUGAAGACGUGGUCGAGGGGAUUGCUCUUGUAUCAACGAAACGCCUGACAAGUUCGGGACGGACCGUACCCUAUAUCCGCAUCUGGUCUCCAAGGUUCGUAGCCUCUGCAGAGUCAGACACAUGUAGGUAAGGGAAGUCGGCAAACUCGAUCCGUAACUUCGGGAAAAGGAUUGGCUCUGAGGGCCGAGCUGGGCCGGGCCUUGCCUGCAAAGCAGUACCUAUAGUGACCGGAGUUUUAGGAGUGCGAGGGGCUCUAGUAGCUGCUUGCGCGUGUGUGCGUUCGCGCGUGCGCGCGUGUGGGCACGAACGAGUCCACCGCUCCGCUCCAACCACGAACGGCUGUGACGGCAAGGGCUCUGGGCGGGAGCGAUCAAACUGUUGGCCCCCAGCUCGUCUGGGUGGCGGCGGUGCUCCGUCUGACCCAUACGGCUCCAGCGGCUAGCGGCUAACUCAGAACUGUCAUGGACCAAGGGAAUCCGACUGUCUAAUUAAAACAAAGCGUCGUGACGGCCCCUGUUGGGUGUUGACGCGACGUGAUUUCUGCCCAGUGCUCUAA